AAUCAGACGGUGGGCGGAGUCGAACCUCAGCUCUACAAAACCACCUGCCGCACAGGUGAGUCUGUUUCAAAGAAAGGAAACAAAAAAUAAACUGGUCAACAUGAAACUUUCUGUCAGAAUCUUUUUCUGUCUGUUCUGUGGAGCUACGGCAGCUCCAGAGUCAAACUGGGAUGCUGAGUCUGCAGCCGGUGGGUUUGUAGACCAGAACCCACAGCAGCCUGAAGUCCAGGAACCAACAGAUCUUCUCCAGGAGAAGCAGUCUUUCCACAAGCCCUUAUCCUGGAGGUUUCCGGAUCCACCUGCUGAAGAAGAGCCCCAGUACCCUCCAGACUUUGAGCUGAAGGUUCCCAAAGCGGUCAACAGUGUCACGGUCAUCUGCAGGGAGAACUCUGUCCGAGUGGAGGCCAAGAAAGACCUGCUGGGCAUCGGUAAACCUGUCCGAGCGGCAGACAUGACGCUGGGAGGAUGUCCUGCCACAGGGGAAGAUAUUGAAGCUCAGGUCCUGGUCUUUGAGUCGGAGCUGCAUGGAUGUGGCAGCCAGCUGCUGAUGUCUGAAGACUCGUUUGUCUACGCCUUCACGCUGGUCUACACUCCCAGUCCUCUGGGGGACAGUCAAAUCGUCCGAACCACAGACGUCGCUGUCGACAUCCAGUGUCACUACCAGAGGAAGCACGACGUGAGCAGCGGGAUGCUGAAGCCGAGCUGGACUCCGUUUAGCCUCAGGGAGGUUUCAGAGGAAAGCCUCCACUUCUCCUUCAGACUCAUGAUGGAUGAUUGGCAGGUCUCUCGUCCGUCCGCUCAGUUCCUGCUGGGGGACAUGAUGAAGUUUGAGGUGUCAGUCAAACAGUUUUAUCACGUCCCCCUCAGGGUGACGGUGGACAGCUGCGUGGCCACUGUGGUCCCAAACGUUGACACUGUCCCUCGAUACGCCUUCCUGGGAAACAGCGGGUGCCUGUUUGACAGUCAGCUGACAGGCUCCAGCUCUCAGUUCCUGCCUCGGUCUCAGGACGACAAGCUGCAGUUUGAGUUGGAGGCGUUCAGGUUCCAGCAGGACGACAGCGGCGUGAUCUACAUCACCUGCAAUGUGAGGGCCACAGCAGCUGCUGCAGCUGUUGAUGCCACCAACAAGGCCUGCUCGUUCACUGAUGGGUGGAGGGAGGUCAGCGGCCGGCAUCACGUCUGUACCUGCUGCGAUACACAGUGUGGGACAGGAAGUCAGGCUCGCGUGACAGGAACAGGUACGUAUAGGCGCAUCACAGGCCAUGCAGAUGUGUAAAGAUGGCUGACGUGAGAACUACCCAAAAGUCAAAGCAAACCCCCCCCUGCAGAUGCUCGGUGGGAACAGGAAACAGCUGUGGGACCAAUCACAGUGAAGGAGCGACCUCUGCGGUGACAACACAAAAUAAGCACUUUAAAAUGACAGGACUGAGAUUAAACCUGUUGCACCCUGU